UAGGGGAAUCUUCCACAAUGGCGGAAAGUCCUGAUGGAGCAACGCCGCGUGAGUGAAGAAGGUUUUCGGAUCGUAAAGCUCUGUUGUUGGUGAAGAAGGAUAGAGGCAGUAACUGGUCUUUAUUUGACGGUAAUCAACCAGAAAGUCACGGCUAACUACGUGCCAG
rnacentral:rRNA from 1 species